UGAUUUUAAUGAUCUUUUCUGUGUCCCACAUAGCGGCAGUAAAAACCCUUCUAUUUCUGUUUAUGUUGUUUUGCUAAUUCUCUCCUCCCUCCCCAUUAGGAUUUCAGCUGCAAUUCCCAGUUCCAAACCCAUGUAGGAUGGCCCUGGGAGUUAGAGGGACCUCUUAUUCCAAGGGUGGAAAACAGGAGCCAUGCUGCCAACAGUGAGGAGUGGAGCCAACACUGCUCCAGAGGUCCACUUUGCAAUCUGUACAGUGCGUGAACACAAGGCUGCAAGUUGGGAGAUGUGGCACCACUUGAGCUCUCCACUCCUCACCAACACUGGAGCUGCAGAAAGCCUUUGCCCUGAGUGCAACCACCUAAUGAUGUUAAGCUAUGGUAUGUCUUGCGAAUGCUCUCCUCGUUUCAAUCCAGAAAACAAUGAGGUGUUUUGUUGUUGUUUUUCAUUUUUUUUUUAAUCCUUAAUUAAUCCAAAUCUAUACAUGUCUUAAUGGAAAUAAAGACUAAAAAUAAUGACCUAAACGCUCUCA
rnacentral:lncRNA from 1 species